rnacentral:rRNA from 1 species
UACGUAGGGGGCAAGCGUUGUCCGGAAUCAUUGGGCGUAAAGAGCGUGUAGGCGGUUCGGUAAGUCGGCUGUGAAAGUCCAGGGCUCAACCCCUGGGAUGCCGGUCGAUACUGCCCGGACUAGAGUUCGGAAGGGGCAAGUGGAAUUCCCGGUGUAGCGGUGAAAUGCGCAGAUAUCGGGAGGAACACCUAUGGCGAAGGCAGCUUGCUGGGACGGUACUGACGCUGAGACGCGAAAGCGUGGGGAGCAAACAGG